UUAACCACACCCCCACGGGAUACAGCAGUGACUAACAUUAAGCCAUAAACGAAAGUUUGACUGAGUCAUAAUUUAAUAGGGUUGGUAAAUUUCGUGCCAGCCACCGCGGUCAUACGAUUAACCCAAAUUAACAGACCACCGGCGUAAAGCGUGUUUAAGUAUAAUACUCUAAUAAAGUUAAAACCUAACUAAACUGUAAAACGUUAUAGUUAAUACCAAAAUAUGCAACUAAAGUGACUUUAAUCUACACUGAACACACGAUAGCUAAGACACAAACUGGGAUUAGAUACCCCACUAUGCUUAGCCCUAAACCCAAAUAGUUAAAAAACAAAACUAUUCGCCAGGGAACUACUAGCUAAUGCUUAAAACUCAAAGGACUUGGCGGUGCCCUAAACCCACCUAGAGGAGCCUGUUCUAUAAUCGAUAAACCCCGAUAAACCCCACCUCUUCUUGCCAAUACAGCCUAUAUACCGCCAUCGUCAGCUCACCCCAAUAGGGACCCAAAGUAGGCAAAACUAUAUAAUCAUAAAAACGUUAGGUCAAGGUGUAGCAUAUGAAGAGGGAAGCAAUGGGCUACAUUUUCUAAACUAGAACAUAACGAAUGGCCUUAUGAAAUCUAAGACCUGAAGGAGGAUUUAGUAGUA
rnacentral:rRNA from 1 species